rnacentral:lncRNA from 1 species
AUGUUGGGAAAUGUGGUUGUCUUGAAUCAACAAAAGCCAUUUUUUGGAGACAGCCUUCAAUCUCAGCAGAGAUUUUUCAGAAACCAGCCAUCAGGAAUUGGGGCUUCCGAAUGCUUAUCUGCCAUAUUUGAGAAUGAUUCUUUCCUUCAACAAUGCUCUCAGAAAUAUCUCCUUUCUACUUCCUCUCUGUUUGAGGGUCCUUCUAACCCUAAACUUUCAAAGGCAACAAGGCAUUAA